rnacentral:rRNA from 1 species
GACGAACGCUGGCGGCGUGCUUAACACAUGCAAGUCGAACGGAGAGGCCCUGCUUUUGUGGGGUGCUCGAGUGGCGAACGGGUGAGUAACACGUGAGUAACCUGCCCUUGACUUUGGGAUAACUUCAGGAAACUGGGGCUAAUACCGGAUAGGAGCUCCUGCUGCAUGGUGGGGGUUGGAAUGUUUCGGCGGUUGGGGAUGGACUCGCGGCUUAUCAGCUUGUUGGUGGGGUAGUGGCUUACCAAGGCUUUGACGGGUAGCCGGCCUGAGAGGGUGACCGGCCACAUUGGGACUGAGAUACGGCCCAGACUCCUACGGGAGGCAGCAGUGGGGAAUAUUGCACAAUGGGCGGAAGCCUGAUGCAGCAACGCCGCGUGCGGGAUGACGGCCUUCGGGUUGUAAACCGCUUUCGCCUGUGACGAAGCGUGAGUGACGGUAAUGGGUAAAGAAGCACCGGCUAACUACGUG